CAUCACUACGCUAGAUGCAUAUCAAUAAGCGGAGGAAAAGAAACUAACAAGGAUUCCCCUAGUAACGGCGAGUGAAGCGGGAAGGGCUCAAAUUUGAAAUCUUAAAGAGUUUCCCUUUACGAAUUGUAGUUUGAAGAAGUGUUUUCUGUUGGAGUUUUGGUAAAAGUUCUUUGGAAUAGGACAUCAUAGAGGGUGAGAAUCCCGUAUUUGACCAUUAUUUCCAACUUUGUGAUACACUUUCAAAGAGUCGGAUUGUUUGGGAAUGCAGUCCAAAAUGGGUGGUAAAUUUCAUCUAAAGCUAAAUACUGGCGAGAGACCGAUAGCGAACAAGUACCGUGAGGGAAAGAUGAAAAGAACUUUGAAAAGAGAGUUAAACAGUACGUGGAAUUGUCAAAAGGGAAGCGUUUGACACCAGUGUUGUUUUCUCGAAAAUCAAUUAAAAAUGGCAGGAUUUUGUGUUGUAUUGACUUUAUCAGCUUUCAGCACUUUUUUUCUUGUCUUUUUUAAUGCACUUUUCGUUUAACAAGUCAACAUCAGUUUCUUUUGUUGUAAAAGGGUCAUUGGAAGGUGGCUUUCUUUUCGGAGAAAGUGUUUAUAACCUUUUACCUCUGCAAUCGGAGAGAUUGAGGACAGCAGCGUAGACUCUUCGGGGUUAGAUACAUAUAUGCUAAGCUAUAGCCUUGUAUAGACAACUUGUUGACUAUGCUCAGUCAUGUAGCUUACUCGUAGAUGCUAUUUUACCUACGCUUAGGAUGUUGAUAUGCAUGACUGAUAU
rnacentral:rRNA from 1 species